rnacentral:rRNA from 1 species
GCUACAAUGGACAAUACAAAGGGCAGCGAAACCGCGAGGUCAAGCAAAUCCCAUAAAGUUGUUCUCAGUUCGGAUUGUAGUCUGCAACUCGACUACAUGAAGCUGGAAUCGCUAGUAAUCGUAGAUCAGCAUGCUACGGUGAAUACGUUCCCGGGUCUUGUACACACCGCCCGUCACACCACGAGAGUUUGUAACACCCGAAGCCGGUGGAGUAACCUUUUAGGAGCUAGCCGUCGAAGGUGGGACAAAUGAUUGGGGUGAAGUCGUAACAAGGUAGCCGUAUCGGAAGGUGCGGCUGGAUCACCUCCUUUCUAAGGA